AUGGCUGCUCAUGUUCAUGAUCUUGAGCAGAAGCUGGAGAGGUCGGAGCUUCAAGCAGAAGUGAUGCAAGAACAAUUGGCGGCAAUCAAGAUGAAGGUGGAAGAAGCUGAAGCUGCACGCGACAAGGAACUUGAGCUGCUGCGCAAGAAGUCUCAAGAGCAGGAUGAGAAGUUAGCCCACUUGAUGGCUCUCUUUGGAGCUAAGGUAGUUUGA
rnacentral:rRNA from 1 species